UACGAGGGGGGCAAUCGUGGUUCGGAAUUAUUGGGCGUAAAGGGUGCGUAGGCUGUGCGGUAAGUCACCUGUGAAAUCUCCGAGCUCAACUCGGAGCCUGCAGGCGAAACUGCCGUGCUGGAGUAUGGGAGAGGUGCGUGGAAUUCCCGGUGUAGCGGUGAAAUGCGUAGAUAUCGGGAGGAACAACUGUGGCGAAAGCGGCGCACUGGACCAUUACUGCCGCUGAUGCACGAAAGCUAGGGGAGCAAACAGU
rnacentral:rRNA from 1 species